GGAUAACUCAGUUGGUUAGAGCAUGGUGCUGAAAAUGCCAAGGUUGCAGGUUCAAUCCCUGUAUGGGACA
rnacentral:tRNA from 1 species